rnacentral:pre_miRNA from 1 species
UAUUAGGUUGGUGCAAAAGCAAUUGCAGUUUUUGCCAUUACUUUUAAUGGCAAAAACCGCAAUUACUUUUGCACCAAUCUAAUA